GGUAUUAUGUGCUACUGUGG
rnacentral:siRNA from 1 species